CACGAAGUUAAGCCCAACGGAUUCUUCCAAACACAAAUCCAGCAAAUUUACAUUUCAUUCGUAGCUUUGGGCGUGUCAUACGUUCUUUUUACUAACAAAAAGAAGAAUUGACAAUUAUGAAUUAAACAAUUAUGCCGGGUGCAUUAUUCGCUUGAUAAAAGCUUUGAGCCUAUUGCUUUCCUACGCAUUUGGUCUGUGAUAGAUUUCGCAUUUGUUGUAGUUGCGUUCGAAUCGAUCGUUUUUAUCGAACACUGGGGAAUCGAUUCAUUACAAAUGCAGCAACAGCAUGCGCGUAGCUGGAGACAAACAUGGUGAUUGGUCUUGUAUAAAAAGCACAAACCUUGUGGGAAACAACAGGGCGAAGGACAGCAGCAUGGUACAAAGGCUGCGGUGUACGUUUUUAUUAGUGCCCUGGGACUACAGAAGCGCGUAAAUUGAAUGCAAUUGUCAGGCCUCGUGGAAAUUACUUGAACCUGGAAACCCCAGAGCAAAAUUGAACUUAUGCACUCUGUACACAUUCAUCCUUGAAUCAAUAAAGUAGUAUAGGGAAACAGCAACAGGCCAAAACAAGCGGGUAGACACGCGCAUCAA